GACGAACGCUGGCGGCGUGCUUAACACAUGCAAGUCGUACGGUAAGGCCCUUUCGUGGGUACACGAGUGGCGAACGGGUGAGUAACACGUGAGUAACCUGCCCACAACUUUGGGAUAACGCUAGGAAACUGGUGCUAAUACUGGAUAUGUGCUCCUUCUUCAUGGUGGGGGUUGGAAAGCUCCGGCGGUUGUGGAUGGACUCGCGGCCUAUCAGCUUGUUGGUGGGGUAGUGGCCUACCAAGGCGGCGACGGGUAGCCGGCCUGAGAGGGUGACCGGCCACAUUGGGACUGAGAUACGGCCCAGACGCCUACGGGAGGCAGCAGGGGGGAAUAUUGCACAAGGGGCGCAAGCCUGAUGAAGCAACGCCGCGUGCGGGAUGACGGCCUUCGGGUUGUAAACCGCUUUCAGCAGGGACGAAGCUUUUUGUGACGGUACCUGCAGAAGAAGCACCGGCUAACUACGUG
rnacentral:rRNA from 1 species